CUACGAACCAGAAUGACAUCGCG
rnacentral:miRNA from 1 species